GAUGAACGCUGGCGGCGUGCCUAAUACAUGCAAGUCGAGCGAACAGAUGAGGAGCUUGCUCCUCUGACGUUAGCGGCGGACGGGUGAGUAACACGUGGAUAACCUACCUAUAAGACUGGGAUAACUUCGGGAAACCGGAGCUAAUACCGGAUAAUAUAUUGAACCGCAUGGUUCAAUAGUGAAAGACGGUUUUGCUGUCACUGAUAGAUGGAUCCGCGCCGCAUUAGCUAGUUGGUAAGGUAACGGCUUACCAAGGCGACGAUGCGUAGCCGACCUGAGAGGGUGAUCGGCCACACUGGAACUGAGACACGGUCCAGACUCCUACGGGAGGCAGCAGUAGGGAAUCUUCCGCAAUGGGCGAAAGCUUGACGGAGCAACGCCGCGUGAGUGAUGAAGGUCUUCGGAUCUUAAAACUCUGUUAUUAGGGAAGAACAAAUGUGUAAGUAACUAUGCACGUCUUGACGGUACCUAAUCAGAAAGCCACGGCUAACUACGUG
rnacentral:rRNA from 1 species